UGACAUAGGUAGCCCCCGUGUCGCAUCUACGCCGAAAACUUUUUCUAUGCCAGUGAAUCAGCCCAAAGAGUAAUAAUUAUAAUCAGCUGCAGUCGCCAUUCAGUUGUCAUUGAGGUUAGACGUGCGUGUGUCCUGAACAAUUUACGACUUGUCCGACGGAAGACCUACACCAUUCCAAGAGUCGCAUUCAUCAUUGCCAUUCUGUUCACCGUAAAAUGUGCGACCAGGACUCCGCCCCGUCUCUUAGCUGCGCAAGAGUGGAUGAUGAUGUUAAAGAAACGUGCCCGGAGGAUACUUGUCCUGGUGGAUCCAGUUGUAUACCCUCGGCUGACUUCAGCGAAAACAUCACUUACAAUGAGGAUUUACAAAAUGAGCCAAAUCAAAUGAGUGUUUUUUAAGAAAACUCUUUAAAUACAUCAUUCAUUCACGCCUGUUUCCUACCGGGGUAAGCAGAGACUAUGGAAUUCCGUUUGUUUCGAUACCUACUGCUGCUGCUUCGGCCACAUACAGCUGCCGGUUCAGAGUAGACCAAACCUUUUUAUGGACAUCCAUAACAGGAAGGAGGUUCGGAGAGACUCCAUUCCAUCUACGGACAACUAGGAAUCUUCGGGCAUUUGAUCCUUAUGUUGUGGAUAUACCACUUAGCCAUAAAGCCAGCCAAUCAGCUCGCGACACCAACACUUCAGGACCCCGAUACCGACCCCGCCGGUGUGGUCAACGAUUUCCCUCAAUCAGCGCUUAUUGCUCGAGCGAUUAAUUCUUUCCAAUAUUCUUCCUCUCAGACGACGCUCUGAACCGAGGUCCGCGCCCAACUGGGCACUCUCAGGCCUGUUGUCUUUGUGCCGGGUGAGAGCCUUCAGCGCUCCCCAUUUGUCCAGCCAAGUAGUUAAUUAGAGCCGAUAUUGAGCUGAGUUCGAUGAAGAGCCGAGGAAGGUUGGAGUUAAAAUCUUAGAAUAUCAUAUUCCUAUAUUAUUAUAGUUUUAGUGUUAAUAUUGUUAUUUGGUAUAAAUACAUUAAAUUAUCUACUGUAUUUAUGAUAGUAAGUAAGUAUUCACGUACGUCCAAAGAUAAUGUUUAAGAUUGUAGUAAAAUAAAAUUAUUUUACAUAAACCAC